rnacentral:rRNA from 1 species
GAUGAACGCUGGCGGCGUGCCUAAUACAUGCAAGUCGAGCGAACAGACGAGGAGCUUGCUCCUCUGACGUUAGCGGCGGACGGGUGAGUAACACGUGGAUAACCUACCUAUAAGACUGGGAUAACUUCGGGAAACCGGAGCUAAUACCGGAUAAUAUAUUGAACCGCAUGGUUCAAUAGUGAAAUACGGUUUUGCUGUCACUUAUAGAUGGAUCCGCGCCGCAUUAGCUAGUUGGUAAGGUAACGGCUUACCAAGGCGACGAUGCGUAGCCGACCUGGGAGGGUGAUCGGCCACACUGGAACUGAGACACGGUCCAGACUCCUACGGGAGGCAGCAGUAGGGAAUCUUCCGCAAUGGGCGAAAGCCUGACGGAGCAACGCCGCGUGAGUGAUGAAGGUCUUCGGAUCGUAAAACUCUGUUAUUAGGGAAGAACAAAUGUGUAAGUAACUAUGCACGUCUUGACGGUACCUAAUCAGAAAGCCACGGCUAACUACGUG